UGUAAGGGGAGUGUUGCCCCCUUAUUAACAUUCAGUGGGGGUUUUUUGGUUGGCUAGCUCCCAGUACUAAAAGGGGAAGGGUCGGUGGGAAACCAGGACCCUGAGACUGACAGCCCCCAGGAACAAUGGGGAGAGGCCAAUGUUCCAGGGAUAUCCCUCGUCUUGGCUGUAUAUGAUUGCAUCAUCCAAGGAUCUGGUAUGGUUCAACCUUCACCUUUACUCCUGGAUCCAUGAUGAUGAGGUGAUGCGCUUCUGUGGUUUUCCCUGGCUUCUCUGAGAACACUUUGUGGUUUCACUCUAUCAUGUUGACUACUUCUAACCUUCCAUCUCACCAUCCUGUCAACCCGAGCUGCCUUUUUCAUGGAUUCCAAGGCCAGAAGGCACCAGUGUGAUCAUCUCAUCUGACCUGCUGUGUAACACAGGCCAGAGAACUUCCCCCAAAUAAUUCCUACAGCAGAUCUUUUGGAAAAACAUCCAGUCUUGAUUUGAACAUUGCCAGUGAUAGAGAAUCCACCGCUACCCACAGUAUUGUUCCAAAGGCUAAUUACCCUCGCUUGUUAAAAAAGGAAAACCUCUUCUCCUGGCUCCUUUCCCUGGAACAAUCUUAGUUCAUACCAGUCCUUCUCCAACUUCUGCUGGCUUUUAUAAACAAUAUGAUAGCCUAGUUGAUUUUCUGUUACUCUUUUAAUGUGGGUUUAAUGUGUAUGGUGGCUAAUUAGAAUGACUGUUGCUUGUGAACAGAUACCUGAGUUUUCGGAAGUACAGCUCUGUUAGCUUUCUCUGAAGACCAUGAGCAUGAGCCCUCCUUACGGAGCUCAGGGAAAGGGUUGCUCCCAGGGCAGCUGCGUUUUUUAACCCAUGACACACUUUUCUGAUCAAACAACAGAACCAGGCUCAGCUUGGUGGGUCAGAAGUUCACUUCACUUUGGAACUGUACUACCAACUCCCUAGUGUUCAAAAAUCCUGAGAUAUGAUUUUUAAGCCAGAGAUGUUUUAAAAAUAAUAAUGAAUUUGGGGUUCCCCUUUGGGACGUUUGGUGUAUGAUGAGUUAACCAUUUUGCAGAAUGUAACCCUACAGGUGAUAUGGAUGCCAAGCUGGAAGAACACAAUUUUAAACUGGCCACAGCCUGAAGCUGAGAAUAUUCCCCGACAUGCAAACGUAUGGGAGCCAUUGUGGGAGCGGGUGCAGCCAGUGCUUUUCAGUGUGUCCUUUCACUCUAUUACAUGGGUCGUAUGCCCCAAGGGAUGGUGGGUGGACUAAAUUCAUCCCAGCUGUAGUGCAUACAGAAAAGGAUUGAAACAACAAUUCAAUGGGUGGGUGAAGGGGCGCACCUGGAAUCGUCGUUGGAAAAGGGGAUUGUGGGCAGCAGGGAACACUGUGCUGGGUACAUGGAAUCUGAGGGGCGAGUGGGUAACCAAACAAUUGAUAAGCCAAAAUGUGAGAUUUCAACAAUGAAUGAAUGGCACAGCAACUCUCGGCAGAUGCCACAGGAUGGAGGACGGCAGUAGAGGUGAACCUGCGGUUAACUCAUUGGGUAGGAGACCUUGUGACAUGGGUGGGGGAUGGCUUCAGAAGGCUAACAUGGGGAGAAGUGUGUGUAGAUAUACAAAAUGCUCCGUUAAUAAUGUUAAUGGAUAUCAUGAGAGACGCUUGGUCAGAACAAUGACCUCUGGUAUUAAAUCGGGAAGCUGGCCCAUAUUUAUUCACACUUGCGAAAACAUACCCAUCAUCCUGGAAAAUAAUAUCCCCUACCUGUGGGGCCAGUACUUGUGUAAUUGUUACCAUGAUACUGUGGGAAAGGAAUGCAACUAAGGUGGUCCCCCGAACCCUAUCGGAGUAACAAGAAAAGGAGGCAUGUGUUGGGAACCUCUGGGAAAUAGAUGGGGAGGGUGGAAUGAUGUGAAUGGACUAUCAUUACGUUAAGCAAUUGUAUACCCAGAGGAGGCAUCUGGGUGUGCCCCUCUCCUAUGACUAUGGAGGAGCAGGAUCAAUGGCUUCUUGCAAGGGGGGGAUAUUUAGGUGUAAUAUAUAGGGGUGCAGUGUAUUCUGUUUGGAAUGUAUGCAAUCCUGUAAUAUAACACUAGGAGGCAAAAUCAUACCAGCAUAUAACCAAAUUAUAAGUUUCUAUACAUUGCCAGCUGGACUAGGGUGCACGAAUGGAUCAGUGGACCUAAGCACUGUAAACAAUCGAACUCGCACCUAUUACCCCAUCCCGUAACAAGUAGUCGAAUUGGUGUGGACAAUACCGAAUUUCACGGUGGAUAUUCAAUGGGCACAAAAUAUGGACAAGAGUACACAAAGAUUACAGGAGCAACUCACCGUGACCGCCAAUAGUUGGACACACUUCAGGAUGGCGUUGACAGAAUUUUAACCCUAUCGAAGGAGGAGAAGCAGUGUUUUUGGUGGUGGCCAGGAUCUUGGACUAUACUACAGUGGUCAGAAGUCUCAGUAUUGCUGUGGAUUGUCAUGGAGGCUGGUGUAUUGUUAAGUAUACUUGUGUUACAUUGCAUAUGGAAGCAGUCAAGAGAGGCACAACUCUCUAAAGAACAGCCAAUAAUUAUAAUCCAUACGUAAUACAGUAAGCCCCCCGCCCCACGUACUAGACAACCCGGACCCAAACUUCUUGGGCCCACUAUAAUGGGAAGUCUGGAACACUAAUUGGAAUAGGUGUGGUAUGCCCAUAAGAUAGAAGGUGCAGGGCACGGUACUAUACAAGGAGCAGUGGGACAGAUGGAGCAUCGACACAUUCCACCUUGAUGCCUGGCCCUAUCAGGAAAUGUGUCACCAUAUGUCCUAUGCUUUUCCAGGGAUACCUGGGCAGGAGGAUCCCAAAAGAAAAGAAAGGGGUGGACUGUUAGAAUAUAGAUAUGCAGGCCUGCUUGUAAAGGCCUAUACUUUAAGAACUUAGGUGUAUUUUUAUCACUUAGCUAGUUAUAGAGGUAUAAAACAAAGAAGCAAAAUCACACUCCACCUGUGUAUGGGUCUUCUCGCACUAGGAUAAUCUGAGGCCUGGUUCUUAGGCUAAGGGCUUUGGCUAAGCAGCAGGGGCAGCCAUAAGCUGGGAAGCGAACGGUCACAUCCUCACAUUCCAAACUAGUUACAUUGAAAUAAGGUGGUAUUGGGCUGUUAGGAAUACAAUCCUGUCCUGGUAGUGCCUAUCGCCUCCAGAUAAAGAGGGUUAAAGAAAACUUAGUUUGAUAGCAUCCUGUCUGGCAAGAAAUCACUAAUCGAUGGUUGUGGUUGUGAAACCCUCAUUUCUGUAUGUUUUAUCUUUAUGGCCCACGCUUUUCUAUUGUUAAUCUGUCUGGUUCUCUAAUUGUUUCUGUCUGCUGUAUAAUUAAUUUUGCUAGGUGUAAGUUAAUUAGGGUAGUGGGAUAUAAUUGGUUAGAGAAUUAUGUUACAAUAGGUUAGGAUUUGGUUAGACAGAUUUCAGUAAAAUGAUUGGUUAAGGAGUAGCUGAGACUGUUACUAUAUAAACUGAGGUCAAACAGGAAAUAGGUGGUGAAAUUAGAAUCAUGCUUGCUGGAAAUUAACCCCAAUAAACAUCACAUUGUCUUCACUUUGUCUUCUGGUCUUUUGCUGCUUGCUGUCUGCGUGACAAGAACCAGGGAAGUGGGAGAGUUGAGAGAAAGUCCUUUAACAGUCUGCAAUUUCCUGUCAAGUUAUUGCUAGUGACUCCUGUGGAAACCACCUUCUAUAAAAAAAAAUGGCAGAAAAACGUCCGUUUCAAUGAUCUGGAGUGAUGGUUGGUGUUGCUGAUGGAGUCUGAUCCUGUUCCCUUGUACUGAGAGAAAGGUCAAAAGGUAGAAAAUGCAGUUGGACCCUAUCCUUGCAACAAAGCC